rnacentral:tRNA from 1 species
GGGCGUGUGGUCUAGUGGUAUGAUUCUCGCUUUGGGCGACGAUGCGGUGCACUGCAUUGAUCAAAACUGUGAGAGGCCCUGGGUUCAAUUCCCAGCAUGCCCC